rnacentral:lncRNA from 1 species
UAAAAAGAGCCCCAAAGCGACAAUUGGUCCGAGUGUCGCCAGUUUUAAAAAAGAAAAAAAUUUUGUGGCCAUAUUAUAACAGCGUUGUCGUGAAGAGGAAAAUGUACCGGGGCUUUUUAUAUCAUGCCGAACAUAGACCUAGCAGACUAGUAAUAUUAGCAUAGAAAUCAUCUCGUUAUACCUACAACGGUACCAUAAACGCACCCAAUUUUCCGUCGUGAGCGCGGCGAAACUCUUUUCUCAAACGAGCAUUGCGUGUUGCGUAACAAACAAUAAUAAUAAUAACAAGACCAUAAGGUUUUGGCCGACCGUUCUUAAAAUUUUAUACCAUUCCCAACUCUUUUUUUUUCUCUGAUAUUUACGGUAGAAUCGUUUGCUACGUGAUUGGCCUUCAUAAAAAUGUGUUGAAAUGUUCUAUAUAUGAAAUGGCACCGAGCCGUGAAAGGAAAAGGUAAUAUGUGUCCUGCCAUUGCAUUUUAUUGGCAACGUUGAACAUGGCAAGCAAGAAAACUUAACAUCUUCAAAAUGGCGGCGGCUCCUUGCCAAAAAACAGAAAAAGAAAACGAAGGAAUCUUGAGAGGAAAUCAAUACCGAAAAAGAUCCUUUUUCCCCUUAUACAUACACCGGGAGAUAGCAAGAGAGGAUGCAAAUGGAAUUGUUAGACGGAGCGAAAAAAAAGAAAAACUGUUAUUUUCUCUGCUCUCAACAAAAGAAAGACUUAGCGACGUGUAAAAUCGUUGCCACCACUGCUGUUGGGGUAUAUCAGGCUGGUGUAACCAUAGAGAAGAGAAAGAGAUCGUUCAUCAUUUGAGUUCUUCGUAGUUUUGAUGCUACUGAUGGCUCCCAGCGCCACUGGCGUUCGCUCGGCUAAAGCCAUAUCUGCUUCCUGGGAUAUCAUGUGAUGAUGGCGUCGAAAAAGAAAAUGAUCAAACGAUUUAUUGUUUACAGAUUGUCACCAAUAUAUAAGAGAUCACCCUCUAUACAUCGAAGGAAUACUAUUAUUCUUCGUGGUUUUAUACCAGUAUGGCCUGUAUACGACAUUACUACAUAAAUUAUAGAUCGGAAGCCCGAGGGGGGGCAGGAGCGGAAACGUAUAAAAACCCGAGUUCCUUUCUACAUCUCUGAAAUGACCAAAGCAGCACUUUAGCACCUUCUUUUCCACAAUCUGGUAAAAGAGCUAUAAAAAGCACAAAAAGAACUAUAAAGAAAUGUCUUUUUUGUAUAUGACGGUAGAGUAGUAAUAGCAUCUAGAAACGAGGAAUUGGCGUCAAGUUUGUGGGAGCCGAAUGCGUGUGUGUGUAAUAGGAUAUCCUACGUGUAGACACAGCGGGCCGCUGCUGGUGUGGAGUAGAGUGUGUAGGCCAAUCUAUAUUGAUUUAACGCCAGCUAGCUGGGAGUGAUAGUUCUCUCUCUCUCCCUCCGGUUAUAUAGUGAUUAGUGUCGGCUUUGCUGUGUGAUUAGCAAAAGGAGGAAAGGGGGGAAAGUGAAGAUUGGCAGCUAUCGUCGGAAGGGUGGUAGGCAUGCACAGCCAUAUUACAACACGCUCCAUUUCCUAGCCCACUUUCGGAGCUGACGGUCCUCGCUGUUAUAGACUUUGGACGUGUAAACUGGAAAGUGAUGUGCUACUGUCUCGAAAGAAACAGACACGAGGCGCCACAGAUAGAAAACAAACACACGUAAAAAAAAAAAAAGGCAUUCGUUUUUUAUUUUUCCGGUAAACUUGCAGCUGGUGAUGUUGUAGAAGAGACAAGACAAAAGACGUGAGAGCUAUGGCCGUUAUAUAGCGCUCGCAGCGUCUAUUUGCUGCGAAAAAGUUUAGCCCGGGUGCCGUCCAAUGCAACUUUACCAUCGACUGUUAAUGAGCGAGCAGCAGACUGCAAUAUACUUACACGGCGUUGCUGGUCUAUAUACUGUCUAAAAUACGCAUAGAUAUCUUUUGACGAUAAUCCUGCUAUACUGCUGGUCGAAUUACCAAGUUUUCCUUUAGCUGCAGCUUAUUUAUGUAAUCGCAAUUAGGAACGUUAGACGCACUAUAGUAACUGUCCCGAGCGCUUGCAACGUGAUUAGCCUACUAUGCUGUGUUACAUAUUAAUGGCUGUUGCGCAGGAUAUAGGAGAGAAGUGCUAAAAGCUGAAUCAUCUUUGAUUUCGUCUUUCACGGGUAUUUUGAUGGUGUCGCUGGAUAACAACCCAACGUGCUGUGGUUCUUUAUACGUAUGACGAACGGGGGAACCAGUGUCCACAUUGUUUCUUAUUUCCAUGUGAAUAAAAGACCAUAUAUUUCAUUUAUAUACGAAAAAUAACUUAUAAUGUAUGGACAGCCGAUCGUUCCUUCAACUUUGUAAUACAUCAAUAAACUCUUUGUGUAUAUUGUGAA